rnacentral:rRNA from 1 species
AGUGGCGCACGGGUGCGUAACGCGUAUGCAAUCUACCUUUUACUGAAGAAUAGCCCAGAGAAAUUUGGAAUAAUCCUUCAUAAUAUCAUUUAUCAGCAUUGAUUUAUGAUUAAAGCUCCGGCGGUAAAAGAUGAGCGUGCGUCCUAUUAGUUUGUUGGUGAGGUAACGGCUCACCAAGACUACGAUAGGUAGGGGCCCUGAGAGGGGGAUCCCCCACACUGGUACUGAGACACGGACCAGACUCCUACGGGAGGCAGCAGUGAGGAAUAUUGGACAAUGGAGGCAACUCUGAUCCAGCCAUGCCGCGUGCAGGAUGACUGCCCUAUGGGUUGUAAACUGCUUUUAUAUAGGAAGAAACACUCCCACGUGUGGGGGCUUGACGGUACUAUAUGAAUAAGGAUCGGCUAACUCCGUGCCAGCAGCCGCGGUAAUACGGAGGAUCCAAGCGUUAUCCGGAAUCAUUGGGUUUAAAGGGUCCGCAGGCGGCCUGUUAAGUCAGAGGUGAAAGCCAACAGCUCAACUGUUGAACUGCCUUUGAUACUGAUAGGCUUGAGUUAUUGUGAAGUGGUUAGAAUGUGUGGUGUAGCGGUGAAAUGCUUAGAUAUCACACAGAAUACCCAUUGCGAAGGCAGAUCACUAACAAUAUACUGACGCUCAUGGACGAAAGCGUGGGGAGCGAACGGGAUUAGAUACCCCGGUAGUCCACGCCGUAAACGAUGGAUACUAACUGUUCGACCUUCGGGUUGAGUGGUCAAGCGAAAGUGAUAAG